UACAGAGGUCUCAAGCGUUGUUCGGAUUCAUUGGGCGUAAAGGGUGCGUAGGCGGCAGUGCAAGUCAGGUGUGAAAUCCCGGGGCUCAACCCCGGAACUGCACUUGAUACUGCUCUGCUAGAGUACUGGAGAGGAGACUGGAAUUUACGGUGUAGCAGUGAAAUGCGUAGAUAUCGUAAGGAAGACCAGUGGCAAAGGCGAGUCUCUGGACAGUUACUGACGCUGAGGCACGAAGGCCAGGGGAGCAAACGGG
rnacentral:rRNA from 1 species